rnacentral:rRNA from 1 species
CCUACGGGGGGCUGCAGUGGGGAAUAUUGGACAAUGGGCGAAAGCCUGAUCCAGCAAUGCCGCGUGAGUGAUGAAGGCCUUAGGGUUGUAAAGCUCUUUUACCCGGGAAGAUAAUGACUGUACCGGGAGAAUAAGCCCCGGCUAACUCCGUGCCAGCAGCCGCGGUAAUACGGAGGGGGCUAGCGUUGUUCGGAAUUACUGGGCGUAAAGCGCGCGUAGGCGGCUAUUCAAGUCAGAGGUGAAAGCCUGGAGCUUAACUCCAGAACUGCCUUUGAAACUAGAUAGCUAGAAUCAUGGAGAGGUGAGUGGAAUUCCGAGUGUAGAGGUGAAAUUCGUAGAUAUUCGGAAGAACACCAGUGGCGAAGGCGGCUCACUGGACAUGUAUUGACGCUGAGGUGCGAAAGCGUGGGGAGCAAACAGGAUUAGAUACCCCAGUAGUC